rnacentral:misc_RNA from 1 species
AGAUUGACGGAGGAGAAAGCUGGUGCUCUACAUCAGAGCAACAGACUUCGUCAAGAAUUGGAAAUUAUGAGGCGCGAUAUCAGCAAAAGCCGCAGUGGUGGUGUUUCGUUCAAGUUCGUCAUCGUCCUUGGCUUGAUUGGUGUAGUUAUGGGCUACAUUCUCAAAAGUUCAUGAACAAUCACUAUAUUUUCCAUCAAAAUGUUUGUUUUGUCAACCUCAGAGAAGCAUUGAGGUGAAAAAGA